AUGUUCUGGACUCAAAUUCGGACUACACAGACAUACCUGACUCAAAACGUUAGGAACUCUUUCAUUCUAACUCAGAAUUGGGUGAUUCCUUUUUGGUUGGCAAUUUUAUUUCAUGCACUUUCCAAUCCAGUUGGAUUCACCUUCAAAUUUGUCCGGAGUGUUGAGAUAUUGACGAAACAAUGUGACAUUGCAGCAGAAUCUGAGUCAAACUACAAGUCCAAAGGUGUUGCAUCACCUCCACUUGGGCCCAUGGGCCUUGUACAACAUAGGGUUAGUGUUAGUCUGCCUUGGGAUGUCCUCCCACCUCCUUGGCUGCCACCUUGCUCCUAUAUAAGUAGAUCAAUCUAUUAG
rnacentral:rRNA from 1 species